rnacentral:rRNA from 1 species
UACGUAGGGUCCGAGCGUUGUCCGGAAUUAUUGGGCGUAAAGGGCUCGUAGGCGGCCAACUAAGUCACACGUGAAAUCCCCAGGCUUAACCUGGGAACUGCGUGUGAUACUGGAUGGCUUGAAUUCGGGAGAGGGAUGCAGAAUUCCAGGUGUAGCGGUGAAAUGCGUAGAUAUCUGGAGGAAUACCGGUGGCGAAGGCGGCAUCCUGGACCGACAUUGACGCUGAUGAGCGAAAGCUAGGGGAGCAAACGGG